CAGGCCUAACACAUGCAAGUCGAACGCACUCUCGUUUAGAUUGAAGGAGCUUGCUCCUGAUUGAUAAACAUUUGAGUGAGUGGCGGACGGGUGAGUAACACGUGGGUAACCUGCCCUAGAGUGGGGGAUAACAUUUGGAAACAGAUGCUAAUACCGCAUAAAACCUAACACCGCAUGGUGUAGGGUUGAAAGAUGGUUUCGGCUAUCACUUUAGGAUGGACCCGCGGUGCAUUAGUUAGUUGGUGAGGUAAAGGCUCACCAAGACCGUGAUGCAUAGCCGACCUGAGAGGGUAAUCGGCCACACUGGGACUGAGACACGGCCCAGACUCCUACGGGAGGCAGCAGUAGGGAAUCUUCCACAAUGGACGAAAGUCUGAUGGAGCAACGCCGCGUGAGUGAAGAAGGUUUUCGGAUCGUAAAACUCUGUUGUUGGAGAAGAAUGUAUCUGAUAGUAACUGAUCAGGUAGUGACGGUAUCCAACCAGAAAGCCACGGCUAACUACGUGCCAGCAGCCGCGGUAAUACGUAGGUGGCAAGCGUUGUCCGGAUUUAUUGGGCGUAAAGCGAGCGCAGGCGGUUUCUUAAGUCUGGUGUGAAAGCCUUCGGCUCAACCGAAGAAGUGCAUCGGAAACUGGGAAACUUGAGUGCAGAAGAGGACAGUGGAACUCCAUGUGUAGCGGUGAAAUGCGUAGAUAUAUGGAAGAACACCAGUGGCGAAGGCGGCUGUCUGGUCUGUAACUGACGCUGAGGC
rnacentral:rRNA from 1 species